ensembl:lncRNA
UAACGUAAGUGAUAAAUUGACCACCAUUUAAUGUAUUUUGUGACCAUUUUAUUGCAGCAGUUCUGGCUUCAUUUGAUGGUCUUUCGUUAUGGUGAAGGGACAUGGAGCAAUCCUACAUUGCAAUGGGAAGAGUCAGAGGACAUUGGUGACUUUAAUAAAAGUGGAAAGAAAGGAAAUUUCAGAAAGCAAGAUAUAAUUCAAAGUCCAGAUUAUACUGGGGACAAAGAUGGGCAGCUGGACCCAGACUUCAUAGAACAUCCUAUUUUUGAUUAUUAUUAUUAUUUUACAAAUUGAAAUUGGGAUUCAUGCAGCAAAUUAAUGUUAGAGUGAGGUCAGGAUAUAAAAAAAAUAUUAAAGAGGAAAACAACUCAAGUUAGACUACAGCAGUUUGCUUUUGCCUGAACCGAUUGGGAACUGAAAUAUCUUUGACAUCAUCUUUGACAUGAUGUAUUAAUUUGUUGAAAUUAGAAUAUAUUUUAUGUUCUUGUAUUUUAUUGUAUAUUGCUAGGCUUGGUCCCCAUGUAAACCGCCCCGAAUCCCCCUGGGGAAAUGGGGCGGGAUACAAGAACGUUGUUGUUGUUGUUGUUGUUGUUGUUGUUGUUGUUGUUGUUAUUUUAUUGUAUGACACAGCAAACAAGAUAGACAUGCUGGAUUUCGUAUCACAAAAUCACAAGUCGAACACUUCCCAAGUGUCUAGGACUGUGUGAUGUAUUUUUGGAUGAUGCUGCAGAUCCCAGUAGGGUGGCCUUUUGCAGUUGGCAGAUCGUUAUUAUUAUUAUUAUUAUUAUUAUUAUUAUUAUUAUUAUUAUUAUUAUUAUUAUCUUUACACAAACCUCACCUAUACUGUAGAAUGAAUGCAGUUUGGUACUCCUUUACCUGCUGUAGUUCAAUGUUAUGGAAUCAUUGGAGAUGUAUUUAGCCUUCUUUGGUAUAGAAGGCAAAAUACCUUCUAAAAUUACAACACACAUGAUUCCACAGCAUUCAAAAAUGGCAGUUAAAGUGAUAUCAAACUGCAUUAAUUCAUUCUUGAGUAGCCCAGACUCUAUCCUGGCCACCAGUUUUUGCACUUCACCCAUUACCAGCCCUAUGUUACUUCAAAUAGUUGCCUUGGCCCACCCUGAAAUUCUCACCAUUAGUAGCUGAAUUUCAUCCAAUGGAGUAGUAUUGGAAGUGAAUUUUAAAUAUGUUAUUGAUUGUUUUUAAUAGUAAUAUUAAUGAUGUUUUUAGUAUGGUUAUGUUGUAUGUUCUAUGUUGGUAAUUGAAUGUUUUACCUAUGUUGGAAAUCGCCCUGAGUCCCUUCAGGGAGAGAGAGCAGUAUAUAAAUAAAAUUGUAUUUGUUAUUGUUGUUGUUGUUGUUGUUGUUGUUAUUAUUAUUAUUAUUAUUAUUAUUAUUAUUAUUAUUAUUUUAUUAUGACACAGCAAACAAGAUAGAUAUGCUGGAUUUCGUAUCACAAAAUCACAAGUCGAACACUUCCCAAGUGUCUAGGACUGUGUGAUGUAUUUUUGGAUGAUAUGCGCAGAUCCCAGUAGGGUGGCCUUUUGCAGUUGGCAGAUUGUGAUUUUGUCAAUGUCUAUUGUUUCCAAAUGCCGGCUGAGAUCUUUUGGCAUGGCACCCAAUGCGCCGAUCACCACCGGGACCACCUGCACUGGUUUCUGCCAUAGUCUUUGAAGUUCAAUCUUGAGGUCCUGAUAGCGGCUGAGUUUUUCCUGUUGUUUUUCAUCAAUGCAACUGUCACCUGGGAUGGCAACAUCAAUGAUCCAAACCUUUUUCUUUUCUACAACUGUGAUGUCUGGUGUGUUGUGUUCCAAAACUUUGUCAGUCUGGAUUCAGAAGUCCCACAGUAUCUUUGCGUGCUCAUUUUCCAAUACUUUUGCAGGUUUGUGAUCCCACCAGUUCUUUACUGCUGGGAGGUGGUACUUGAGGCAUAAGUUCCAAUGAAUCAUUUGGGCCACAUGGUUAUGCCUCUGUUUGUAGUCUGUCUGUGCAAUUUUCUUAAAGCAGCUGAGGAUGUGAUCAAUGGUUUCGUUGGUUUCCUUGCACAGUCUGCAUUUUGGGUCAUCAGCUGAUUUUUCGAUCUUGGCCUUAAUUGCAUUUAUUCUUAUGGCUUGCUCCUGGGCUGCAAGGAUCAGGCCUUCUGUCUCCUUCUUCAGUACUCUCUCCCUCUGAAGGGACUCAGGGCAGUUUUUAAUUAUUAUUAUUAUUAUUAUUAUUAUUAUUAUUAUUAUUAUUAUUUAU